UGACAAAACUUAGUAAGAGGCUCAAUUUACCAAUCUCUCACUCUAAGGCUAUGAAAAUAAUUAACAAUUUACUGCGCAAUUUCGAUAGCAUACCUCACAGAGGGAAAAGCUCGCACUCAAAUGAUACCGACUUUACUUGCGACAUCUGAUGCAACGUACUCUGGCGACAAUAUCACAAACGCCUUCUUUGUCCCAUCGGGCCUAACAACAGUAUUGAUCUUCCUUGUCUGGAUACCAAGCAUAUUCUCGACUGCGCCUCUG
rnacentral:misc_RNA from 1 species